CAAGCAGGGCAGUGUGGUGCUGUGAUAGCCAAGGGUAGAGAAACAUUUUUGGAAAAAAGUGGUGCAGUGAGAGCUAGAAGAGAGCUCACUGAUUUUAACAGCACAGAAGUUAAGGUGGAGAAGGCGAUGAACGUGGAGGGCAGGGCACACACGAGAUGAGGGUGGGCUAAGAAGCUGCAGAAACUGAGACUGGUGCUGACCACCUGUGUGUUCUUGACCCAGUUGAUCCAUCCCUCUGAGCCUUUCCCCCUCUGUUUCCAAAAUGACACACUCUGGACACUCAAAUGACAUCCAACACCACACAUCAGGUGUGCCCUCAGGAGUGGAGGGUCCAAGGGACACGCCUGCCGGAGUUGAGGCUAGGUCCUGUCAGCAUGUUCUGACGUUCUUGACCCUGUGGCUGACUUCCUGCUUUCCCUGUUCCAUAGCGAGCCAACAACAAAGGAGCCUGAGGAGUUCCCCAUUGGUAUCUUCAAUGUCUGUUCUCAGAAUAUUUGAGAAACAUGCCGAGUAUAGGAGCCUGUGCCAUACCCGGCAGCCGGGAAUGAGAAGGCAGGACCAGCUGACCAGACAAGCCUCUCUCCUUGAUGUUCUGUCUGCUGCUCUUGGACUGGCUGCUGCUCAGCAUUCUCAUCUUGAAGACAAGAAAUAAAAACAGUUCCUGGAUCCUGGGGAGGGGGUGAUGGACAGAGUUAAUGAAUUAAAGUACUUGAAAAUGCUGUUUGUAAUAUGUUACUCUAAUUUCUUUUCUUAAAUUGAUAAGUAAAAAUGGCAUAUAUUUAUGAUGACACCAUAAUGUUUUUUGAGACAGACAUACAUUGUAGAAUGGCUAAAUCAAGCAUUAACAUGUAUAUUGCGUCAGAGACUCUUUUUUGAUUGAGAACAUUUAAAAUCUACUCUUUAAGUACUUUCUGAGUAUACAAUACAUGAUUAUUAUUUUUAAAUGUAUAAGUUUAUUAUCAUUCACUAAACACACACAUACAAAAAUUAAAAUUAUUCAAAGAAAAGCAAUGCAAGGGAAAAAACUAUAAUACUAUUCAAAUAUAAUAGAACUCAACCAAACAAAACUGAAAAGUACUUAAACAUUUUUUCGUAUAAUUUAAAAAAAAAUCUCAAGCAUUAACAAGACAUCAAAGGAUGUGAUUUGUUUUAGAAAGAUUUUCAAAAUUAAUAUUGAACAGACAGUGGUCUGGAAAAAAAAUUCUAAUUAGCUAGUAGACUCUACAUAGGCCAAAUUUUUAAAAUUUCAAUUUCAAUACAGUCAUGUGACAUGUGAUGGAAAUAUAAUCAGA
rnacentral:lncRNA from 1 species